rnacentral:rRNA from 1 species
GACGAACGCUGGCGGCGUGCUUAACACAUGCAAGUCGAACGAUGAACCCGGAGCUUGCUCCGGUGGAUUAGUGGCGAACGGGUGAGUAACACGUGAGUAACCUGCCCUUGACUCUGGGAUAACUGCGGGAAACUGUAGCUAAUACCGGAUACGACCCUCGGCGGCAUCGCCAGGGGGUGGAAAGAAUUUCGGUCAAGGAUGGACUCGCGGCCUAUCAGCUAGUUGGUGAGGUAACGGCUCACCAAGGGGACGACGGGUAGCCGGCCUGAGAGGGUGACCGGCCACACUGGGACUGAGACACGGCCCAGACUCCUACUGGGGGCAGCAGUGGAGAAUAUUGCACAAUGGGCGCAAGCCUGGUGCAGCAACGCCGCGUGAGGGAUGACGGCCUUCGGGUUGUAAACCUCUUUUAGUAGGGAAGAAGCGAAAGUGACGGUACCUGCAGAAAAAGCACCGGCUAACUACGUGCCAGCCGCCGCAGUAA